rnacentral:snRNA from 1 species
ACCCCUUCUGGGCCUCUGGCUAAGAUCAAGUGUAGUGUCUGUUCUCAUCAGUUUACAAUUUUUUUUUUUUUUAAGAAUACUAUUUCCUUAAAGUAGGACUUAGGCUCACAAAUCUUAAGUCAUGAGUUCUUAACUCUA